GCGUGGAGAUCAGAGCUUUGCUCAGAAUGACCUUCUAAUGAUUCUCAAUAACGGCAAAAGGAUUCAGUUUCAUAAAAUCAGUCAAGCCAGUUUUAUAUUUUUUUUCUUCUAGCUCAUUCACCAGACAUUUAUUGAGUGCUGAUGAGCAGGCAGGUCCUACGGAAGGCAUUGCAAAUUUUGUGUGGAGUGAAAUGCCUCUGCUUAGAUUGUCAUUGCUGUUUACCUUAUAACCUUGUGGCCCAGACUACCUACCACGGGCUGACUGAUUGCAAGCUGACCUUUUCCACCAAUGCUGGGAAGCUGUGGCUGUAGACGAUAGGAUCUGCUCCUGUCUUUUCAGGUCUGUGAACUCAGCCUGAGAAUUACACCACCAGCCUCCACAGUUCUGAGGAUUUUGAACAUGGACUGACCAUGCUACCAGCAUCCCAGAGUCUCCAGCUUGCAGAUGGCUUGCCGUGGGACUUCUCAGCCUCCAUAAUUAUAUGAAGACACAGAGGCUCCAGGAGAACAUGAGUGCUGGCCAAGACCACACACCCCAUAAACCACGAAGCUAGAAUCCACAUCCUGGGCCUCACUCUCCAGAGCCCGGCUGCCUCCCUCCUCUCUUCAGGCUUCCUGAGUUUGUAGCUUGGUUUUGUUAUUUAUUUGCUGAGCUCAAAUCCUGGCUUACUUAACCUCUCUAACUGCCCAUUUCCUCAACUGGAAAAUGGGGCUAAUGAUAACACAGACCUUUUAAGUUGUUGUGAGGAUCAUUAGAUAAUGUUUAUAAACUACUCAGCAGAAUGGCUAGUGCAGAGUAAGCCUCAAUCAAUGUUAUUACUACUUUUUAUUAUGUUCGGUACCGUUGUCUUUUCUCUACACACUCGCUCUUUGGUCAGGCUCACCUACACACACAGCUCCCAGCAGCACCUACAUGUGAGAAAUCCCCACCCUUUAUGGCCAGCCCAGACUUCUCUACUGAGUGCUAGGUCCAUAUGCCCUGUCACUGGCUAGAUUUCCUCCCCUUUGAUAUCCCAUGCACACCUCAAAUGUGACAAACUCACGGCAGAUCUCACCCGCAUCCUCCUGUAAAUCUACCUCUUCUCUGACUGCCCUACGCUGGUGACUGGCAGGUCCCCCUGAGUCAUAAACUUGGGCUUUGUCCUUGACUCCCAUGUCUCCCCGGUUUCACUGUUCCAGCAACAUUUGAUCAGUUACUUAAUCCUUCCUCUUAAACAUCUCUCUGAGUCAUCCAGCCUCUCCUGGAUAUUGCCUUUGUCACUGCUGAGUCUGUCUUGAUUUAAAUUUUUGAUAUUUUAAUAAUAAAAUUUUUUUGAUAUUUUG
rnacentral:lncRNA from 1 species